AUGGCCUGGCCGACCCUCGCCGCGCCCCUUGUGUUUGCGUCGAUCUUCAUCCUAGCCAUGGCCGACCCUUCAUUUGUGUGCCCCAUUCUUCCUUGUGAGCGUGAGAUAAGCCUGCGUUUGUACUUGCACCAAGUUAUUGAUGGGCCAGACCACAACCAGGUAGUAACCGUAAGUUCUGGCCACCCGGCUUGGUUCGGCACGACCGCCGUCAUCGAUUGGACGGUCACCGACGCGCCUCAACGCGGUGCGACUAUUGUCGCCCGCGCGAAAGGCAUGCAAUUGCAGGCGGACAUAGAGGGUCCUGGCUGGUUCAAUUAUUUCACCAUGGUGUUCGAAGAUCCAAGGUUCAGUGGGUCGACGCUUGCAGUGAUGGGUCAGUAUCUAUCAGAAUUCAGAAGGCGAGAUGGCUAUUAUGGGCGGGACAGGAGAGUUCGCCAUGGGGCGUGGCGUCAUCAAGUUCAGAACAGUUAG
rnacentral:rRNA from 1 species